ensembl:lncRNA
UUCCACCUCCCGCUGAGGUUCCUCCCCCCUCCCAUGCCCUUUCCAAGCCUCUCCCCCUCCUCACUAGAUUGCCUCCAUCCUUCCAGAGGGGGGGGGGAGGGGCUGGGAGGUGUUUGCAAAGCUUUACCCCUGCUCCCCCUCCUUCCUUUCUUCCUUUGCUAAAUAAAUUAAAAGCAGAGAUGGCUCCUGAUGGAGAUGGAUGGGGCUGGGCUGGCGGCCGUGGGGUUGCUCGCUGGGAAAUACAAGAUUGUAUGUGUAACUCCCACUCCACAGCAGAUACCUUCUUUGUAAGUAUUGUAAAAGUGCAGUGAUCUCGGAGACAUCUGCGUAGUCGGAUUGGGUCUUGCUGCAGCAUAUAAGGCACAG